rnacentral:tmRNA from 1 species
GGGGCUGCACCGGUUUCGACGUGGGUUCGGACCCGCAGCAGGGCAUGUCGAGGCUCAGUUCCCUCGUUAAUCCAGCUGAAACAAACCAACUGCGAACGACGAACGUUUCGCCCUCGCCGCUUAAUUGCCGGUGAGCCUUGCAACGGUUGGCCGAUGGGCCGGGCUGAAGGCGCAAGCUGACAGCUGCAAGGGAACCUUACAUUGGCUGGCUUCCGGGCGGGUGCCUUGGCCGGAAGCGAGACUCAAGGGCACUGGCUGACCGGGUAGCGUGCGACUGCGCGACCCAGCCGGCGAGACUCAAAUCAGAUCGCUAAACAUGUAGAACUGCACGGAAAAGGCUUGCGGACGCGGGUUCGACUCCCGCCAGCUCCACCA